CUGGCGGCGCACAUAAGACAUGCAAGUCGAACGGACGACUUCGAUAUGUUAUCUAUUGAAGAAGUUAGUGGCGGACUGGUGAGUAACACGUAAAUAAUCUGCCUACAAGAGGGGAACAACAGUGAGAAAUCACUGCUAAUACCGCAUAAUUCAUUCUUAUCGCAUGGUAGGAAUGGAAAAGGAGCAAUCCGCUUGUAGAUGAGUUUGCGUCUGAUUAGCUAGUUGGUGUGGUAAUGGCAUACCAAGGCGACGAUCAGUAGCUGUGCUGAGAGGCAGAACAGCCACAUUGGGACUGAGAUACGGCCCAGACUCCUACGGGAGGCAGCAGUCGGGAAUAUUGCGCAAUGGAGGAAACUCUGACGCAGUGACGCCGCGUAUAGGAAGAAGGUUUUCGGAUUGUAAACUAUUGUAGACAGGGAAGAAACAAGACAGUACCUGUAAAGUAGGCUCCGGCUAACUAUGUGCCAGCCGCCGC
rnacentral:rRNA from 1 species